rnacentral:misc_RNA from 1 species
GAUGAAGAACGUAGCGAAAUGCGAUAACUAAUGUGAAUUGCAGAAUUCCGUGAAUCAUCGAGUCUUUGAGCGCACAUUGCGCCCCCUGGUAUUCCGGGGGGCAUGCCUGUCCGAGCGUCAUUACAACCCUCAAGCCCGGCUUGUGUAAUGGGCGGCCGUCUCUCCCCCCGGGGGGAGACGCCCCCGAAACUCAGUGGGGAUGUCGCGAUACCGAAGCCUCAGCUAAUGGGUAAACCACAGCUGCAAUGGCCGCGGCCGGCGUCCGCCUUCCACGGUCCGUCCGCCUAGCGCGGGCGGCCUUCUCAAGGUUGACCUCGGAUCAGGUAGGGAUACCCGCUGAACUUAAGCAUAUCAAUAAGCGGAGGA